rnacentral:rRNA from 1 species
UUGGAGGGCAAGUCUGGUGCCAGCAGCCGCGGUAAUUCCAGCUCCAAUAGCGUAUAUUAAAGUUGUUGCAGUUAAAAAGCUCGUAGUUGAAUUUCGGGAUCAAUUUGCUGGUCGUGCCUUCGGUACGCACUGGUAUUAUUGGUUUCUCCUUUCUGAUGAAUCGCGAUGUCAUUAAUUUGGUGUCGUGGGGAAUCAGGACUGUUACUUUGAAAAAAUUAGAGUGUUUAAAGCAGGCUCACGCUUGAAUACAUUAGCAUGGAAUAAUGAAAUAGGACGUUUGAUUCUAUUUUGUUGGUUUCUAGGAUCGACGUAAUGAUUAAUAGGGAUAGUUGGGGGCAUUAGUAUUCAAUUGUCAGAGGUGAAAUUCUUGGAUUUAUUGAAGACUAACUACUGCGAAAGCAUUUGCCAAGGAUGUUUUCAUUAAUCAAGAACGAAAGUUAGGGGAUCGAAGACGAUCAGAUAUCGUCGUAGUCUUAACCAUAAACUAUGCCGACUAGGGAUCGGAUGAUGUUAAUUUUUUAAUGACUCAUUCGGCGCCUUACGGGAAAC